GUAUUUACUGGAAGGAGAAGGAUUUGUCCUAAGAUGAAUAGUUUUUUCAUCUUCAGAAAUUCCUGACAAGCUACUACCCUGUCAAGGCAUGAAAAAUUUCAUUAGUGCUGACUUGGCAGCACUGAGAAGUGAAGGAAUAUUUGGGAGGAUCAGAAGCUUGGUCCUGAUUUUGCCAUCAACAGGAACUUGAUGACUUCAAGGGAGUCCCCAAACCCUGGGUUUCUGUUUUCUCAACUCUAACAUGAGGGGCUAGAUGCAUCUGGUUUAGUUAGUCUCCAUGAUGGUUUAGUUCGUCUCCAUGAUCCUGUGAAUUUCAGAUGUUGAAAAUCUUCGGAAAAGCCCUGAAAGAUGAACAGUGGUCUCAAAUAGUCAAGACCCCCUGCUGGGAGGAGCUUCUAUCCUGCUCUGUGGAAGAAAUGGGCAUGCCAGAUGCCUG
rnacentral:lncRNA from 10 species